rnacentral:rRNA from 2 species
ACGGAAGGCAGCAGUGGGGAAUAUUGGACAAUGGGGGGAAACCCUGAUCCAGCGACGCCGCGUGAGUGAAGAAGUAUUUCGGUAUGUAAAGCUCUAUCAGCAAGGAAGAAAAUGACGGUACUUGACUAAGAAGCUCCGGCUAAAUACGUGCCAGCAGCCGCGGUAAUACGUAUGGAGCAAGCGUUAUCCGGAUUUACUGGGUGUAAAGGGAGCGUAGACGGCAAAGCAAGUCUGAAGUGAAAUCCCGGGGCUCAACCCCGGAACUGCUUUGGAAACUGUUUAGCUAGAGUGCAGGAGAGGUAAGCGGAAUUCCUAGUGUAGCGGUGAAAUGCGUAGAUAUUAGGAGGAACACCAGUGGCGAAGGCGGCUUACUGGACUGUAACUGACGUUGAGGCUCGAAAGCGUGGGGAGCAAACAGGAUUAGAUACCCUGGUA